rfam:Dipodomys ordii contig_60320, whole genome shotgun sequence.
UGGAAAGUGGCUCAGUGGUAGAACACUUGCCUUGCAUGCAUGAGGCCCUGAGUUCGAUUCCUCAGCACCACAA